CCAGCAGCUCAGGAGGCUGAGGCAGGAGGAUCACAAGUUCAAAGCCAGCCUCAGCAGCCCCUCUCCUCAGAACAGUGCACUUUGCUCAGGUAUUUCAUAAAUCAUCGUGGGAACAGCGGGAUAUGCCUGAGUUGCGCUAAGACCAUCACCUUUGUAUCAUCUCCACUUCAAAAAUGAUAAAACUGAGACUACCUGGCUCUUCCAUCCAAAGGAUCCAAGAAGUCUGUCUUCAAAUGUCCCUUAGGAAUUUCAACAUCAACUUGCCCCAAAUGGAAACCAUUAACUCCUCACCCCAACUCCUUCCUCCAUAUUCUGACCUUUAAGUAAGCGAGGUACGACCGACGGUCUGUAUGGACUAGAGCUGUAGCUAUCCUCCAAAAUCUUCCCACCGAAAUAGCAAUAGUCCCACUCUCCUUAGCCGUAGCACAUUGAAUACUCUCAAUACUAAGGGUACCUGUGUUCCUCCUAAAAAUCCAAUAAAAUUACAUUACAAUAAAAGGAUUUUUUAAAAAAAAAAAAAGUAUGAACUAUCAAGGACAAAUCCACCAUGGAGAGAGGACAACUACACAACCUCAGAAGACGGAAAGGAGAAACUAGUUUGACCAACUAAAGAAACCCUGAACCCAGGCUGGCAAUGGGAAAAACCCAGAACAUGUUGACUAACAAGGAUGAACCCCCGAAGAGCUCAGGAAGGAAGGCGCCAGGCACCCCUUGAAGACACAGUCGAAUAAUUCACAUUUCAGACAAUGGGAGGUCCCAUUAGCACAGCCUUCUGGCUCCUGCUUUCUGUUGGAAAGCGUGGAGAGACUGUGCUCCACCAAAGCAAAAGAGGAAGCCAAAAACUGACGACCUGGGAUUUAAUGAAGGAGGGAAGCUCAGGGCUUGGGGCGUCCUGAGCUGUUGAUGAAGGAAUGAAUAUCCCAGCACUUGGAAGCCAAAGAAUUUGCUUGAAAUCACACGGCUCAUCUAGUGAGUGUUGAAGCUAGGAAACCCAACCCAGGCAUGUUGGAUGCGAAGGCCACAAUGGGACAUUUCUGUAAUUGUGGAAUUCUGGACUGGAGGAUGCCUACUGCAGAUAAAAACAGCUCCAAGACACAAGCUUACAAGGAGAAUGAAAUGAGAUAGCGCCCAAUUCAGUGCCCAGCACACGGAAACCUAGCUAUUGCUGUCUUCUAGUUAAAAAUAUACACCGUGAUUGUUGCCUCUACCAAAUGUUCUGUAAAGGAUUAGUAUUUUAGCUGGACCUGGAAAGAUAAUAAUUUUGGUGGUUGGUAUCCUUGUCAGCUUGGGAGACUAUAACAAAAUCCCAUGGACUCAGUGACAUAAACAACAGAUAGUCACUUCUCAUAGUUCUGAAGGCUGGGACGUGCAGGACCAAUGUGUUGGCAUGUUCAGUUCCUGGUGGGGGUCUCUCUUCCCGCUAUCCAGAUGGCCACCUUCUCACUGUGUCCUCACAUGGCAGAAAAAGAGAGAGAGAGGAGAGAGAGAGAGAAAGAUACACAGACAGACUAACCCCAUCUUGGGAAUCCCAACCUCAUGACCUCAUCUAUGCCUAAUCGCCCACCUCCAAAUAUGGUAGCACCCCUCAUCCAUGAGGGAUAUAUUCUAAGACCUCCAAUUGGUACCUAAAUCCAAGGACAGUACUGAACUAUAUGCAUAUUCUGUUAUACACAGAUAUCUAUAAUAAAAAUUUAAUUUAUAAAUUAGGCAGAGUAAGAGAUUAACAAUAACUAAUAAUAAAGUAAUAACAUAUUGUAAAUUAUGUGUUUCUCCUCUCUUAAAAUAUGUUAUUGUACCAUGCUCACCCUUCUUCCUGUAAUGAUGUGAGAUCAUGCAGUGCCUAGGUGACAAGAUGAAGUGAGGUGAGGGGCGCAGGUGUUGUGACAUAGCGUCAGGCAAGGAGGAUCAUGGAGCCAUGAAGACGCAGGUGGUGAAACUGCACAGGGGGACGACCGCGCCAGCACAUUGGAGGUUAGGACUUCAACCUAAGAAGGAGGGACAAGGUUAACAAAGGAAGAGAAGACAACAAAGAUGUCCACUUUGACCAUUUGUCAAAGGAUCCAGUUGCAAACCAACUACAGUUCAGCACUUGCCAGAAGUUUGCUUAAAAUGUUUGAGAUUUGGAGGAAAUAUAUCAUCUCUCCAUUUCUCUAGUUUCUGUAAGCCCUAUCCCUGAAGUAAAUUAGAUCAUCAGAAAGGAACAAACCUGCACUCUAUUAUCUUAACUCCCCACAGACUAACUUGCAUAGGAUUAAGAUUAAUGCAAUGCCCUUAAACCUUGGAGAAGAGAAAUAAAUCAUCAGCUUGAAGAAUAUUUUCUUAUCUUGUGCAAAAUCAUAGUUGUAGACAACAUGUACCAUGUUACCCACCUUUAAAGGGUCUGAAAAAGACUUUGUCCCUAGAUAAAUUUGUACGCUUGCUUUUAUCAUGCAAUGACAAUUUCAUAACCCAGUGCCAGGAGAAGAUUUAGUGCUCAACAGCAGUAAUUUAAUUUGUACCAAAUGGUUAAAGACAGCUCUUUUCUCCUUGCAAAUAUUUUUAAAAUAAAUGAGUUUGUCUUGUCUUAUA